AUGGCGGCGACUGUGGCAGCGCCCCAGAACUUUCCGUUUACCUGUCUGUCACGGGGGGACUUGCUUCGCCCGCUCCUACGUCAGUCGGAAGGGGAGGACCGGCGAAGGUUAGUGACUCAGCUGCAGUCUUUAACAGAUUAUUUCCAUGAAAUACUCAAGACUGCAAAAAUGAAACAGCUGGCAAAAUUUCCAACAUAGAGGAAAGUAAUGUACAGAAGUCUUCAACCCAGCAGCUCCGAGAAGAACCCCAGCAAAGGCCUGUGACCUCACCUGUAGUGCCCAGAGAAGGCCCUGCCCAUUGCAGGUGGGGAAAAAUAAAAGAGGCAUAUUCUGGACCCUACUCUAACAAUGCAAAAACACUUCUGGAAAUUUAUCGGACUGACCGUCCUCUGUGAAGCCCCAUGCUGCCCUCACCUGCCAAACUACCUUGAUCCUGCCAUAUCAAUAGUCAUGAAACCAAGAUGGAAUGGGCAAUGAGGAUGCAUAACAAUAAGAAAUGGCGCAAAAAGUGUUGUGCUUUUAUUCAUCAAAGUAUUAACAAAGCGCAUAGUGUGGUUUUCUUAACAAAUAAAUAAUCCAUGAUAAAAACAUUGUCCAGUGAAGAAGUUAAAAAAUCAGAUCAAUUAAAUAAAAAAUAUUCCAUAAAGUAGUGCGCUGGGGAACCUGUUUUGAUAGCAAAACAGAAACAUGCAUAGGCAUCGGAAACAUUGUGGGCCCCAGCCAGUGCUCAUUGUGCCCAUAUGUUAAGACGGCCCUGGUCAGAGGGUCAACUUCUGGGCUCCUCAGAGGUAAGCAAUACCACCCCAGGACACCAGGGGGUGCAAUUUCUAACUGUCUUAUCUCUUUCUCCAUCCACAGCUCCAAUGAAGGCACUGACCCCACCCCUUAUAAAUUCAUGAGCUAUAAGAGCUCCCAGAAAGAGGCUUUUCAUUUAGGUGAUGAGCAGCCCACUAGACAAAGCUCUGACCAAUGGCUGAUUGCAAUUUCUGUUCAGUAUGGCGCCAUCAUGUGUCUGUUAUUUUGAUCCUCUUAUUAUUUCAGUAAAUGGGGUGGCCUGGUGGGUACCCCAGCCUUUCUUCUGAAAUCUUACAUUCUUCUCAGUUGAUGAUGUAGACCUAAUGUACAGAGCAGGCAAUGUUAAAAAUAAAGUUAAAAAUGAAAAGUGCUGCUUGUUUACUUGUAGGCCUAACAAUAUUUAUUAUACUGAACUAUUGUGAUGAGAACAGGCCAUUCAGCCCAACAAGCUCAUCCAUUCCAUUCAGCUAGAUUGCCAAACUAACAUCAGGUCAAGAUUUGAAGUUCCUUUAAGCCCUACUCUCCACCACACUACUUGGUCAUUUAUUUCAUGACUCUGUGGUUCCUUGCCAUGAACAGAGUUUAAAGGAGAAGGACUGAGGGCCUGCCCUCCCGCUCCAAUCCAAUGCACUGACCAAAGAUCUACUAAAAUAAGUUUCAAAUAAAGAGUAUUUUCCCCUUAAUUUUGUAAGGCCACGGAUAAGGUAAUAUGCCUUGCAGUAUGAAGUGUGUGAGGUUUUGUGUCCCAGGCACUCCACUUGGGGAGUUUGCAGGUGGGCCUGCAUGGGUUUACUCUGGUUUCUUCUACAAUCUAUAAUUGUAAAUGUAUGGGUUAUUAUAUCUUCACUUGUGGCAAUUAUCUUUUGUUACCUGUCCUACCAGACUUGCUGAACAAAGAACCCCUAGCCUAAUGUUAAUCGAUUAUGUUUACCUCUUUUGUAGAUCGUUUUGGAUAAAAGCGUCUGCUAUGCAAACAGAUGUAAAUGUAAAUGCGACUCUAAAACAUGCAAUUAUUUGCUUUGGGUCA